GGAGGAGUAGCGAAGUGGCUAAACGCAGCGGACUGUAAAUCCGCCCCAUUAUUGGUUCGGUGGUUCGAAUCCACUCUCCUCCA
rfam:Lactobacillus floricola DSM 23037 = JCM 16512 strain DSM 23037 NODE_36, whole genome shotgun sequence.